rnacentral:tRNA from 1 species
GUAGAUAUAGUUUAACCAAGAUAUUAGACUGUGACUCUAAAGAUAGGGGUUAAAACCCCCUUAUCCACC